GUUCACAAUGCUAACUUUAGGGAUAUAAAGAUUAAAUAUGGAGACACAACAGUGUGGCUAAAGGCUCUGUCUUCAUUGCAUCUGGCGCUUCUGAUUCUGCAUUUUCUUCUCAAAUGCUCUGUUCUUAGUGUGCUGGUGGUCAUCUGUGUGCGGGAAAAGAGACAAAGUAGUUCUGAUUACUGAUCCCAAUUUCUCAGCAAGAGGAUCACUGGGAAUAUGUACACUUCUUGGUUUUUUAACGUGUAUAUAAAGUGAUUUUUGAAAACC